AUUAGUCAUGCCAAAACGAAAAUUGCUUUCACAGAUGUCAAAAAGACAUUACCGACGAUUGAAAUGCAAUGCGCGUAAUAUUGCAACUACAGCAACUAUAAGCAAAGAUUUCAGUAUUAGAGAUGGCUCUUAAUACACAUACAUUUUAUCUGGUAGAAUUUCUUGAUGGGUUACAAAUUGUACCGUAUAAUUGGAUACAAAAUGAUAAAAAUGAAUGUUGGUAUCCAAAUUAUAAAACAGACAAGGAAAUAAAUAAAGCAAUUAAAAAACGACAAACACAUCAAGAUGAUUAGUUAUCAUGUCCAAUUAAACGAGUUUUUGGUGUAUAUGGUAUAUUACACGAAAUUUUAAUUUGUCUAUAAAGGAUAAUUUGCGAACUACUGCAAUAUACUGCAAGGUUUUUGUUUAUAGAUAUUAUUAGACUUCUUGUAUUUUGUAGAGUCCUACAGUGAAACACGGAGUAAACUUAAAAAGGCUGAAAUAAUUUCUGAUAUUAAUACAGAUACUGACGAAAAAACACAAA
rnacentral:lncRNA from 13 species